AUUGAACGCUGGCGGCAUGCUUUACACAUGCAAGUCGAACGGUAACAGGGUGCUUGCACCGCUGACGAGUGGCGAACGGGUGAGUAAUGCGUCGGAACGUGCCGAGUAGUGGGGGAUAACGCAGCGAAAGUUGUGCUAAUACCGCAUACGUACUGAGGUAGAAAGUGGGGGACCUUCGGGCCUCACGCUAUUCGAGCGGCCGACGUCUGAUUAGCUAGUAGGUGAGGUAAAGGCUCACCUAGGCGACGAUCAGUAGCGGGUCUGAGAGGAUGAUCGGCCACACUGGGACGGAGACACGGCCCAUACGCCUACGGGAGUCAGCAGUGGGGAAUUUUGGACAAUGGGCGAAAGCCUGAUCCAGCCAUGCCGCGUGUCUGAAGAAGGCCUUCGGGUUGUAAAGGACUUUUGUCAGGGAGGAAAUCCCUAGUGCUAAUAACACUGGGGGAUGACAGUACCUGAAGAAUAAGCACCGGCUAACUACGUGCCAGCCGCCGCGGUAAGAC
rnacentral:rRNA from 1 species